rnacentral:lncRNA from 1 species
CCUCUCCUAACCCGAUAUUGAGUCUAUGAAUAUUUUUGUUUGUUGUUGGCAGCGACUAAGAUUGUUAGUGGACUUUGUUUUUUUGAGCUGCAUGCUCUAUCUCCUAAAGCCAAGAAGGGUUUUUUUUUCUCUUGUUAUUUUCUUAUUGUAAUUUUCUAUAUUUCUUUCUCAAGGAUUUGAAGGUGGAGGACAGAUCUGAAUGCCUCACCAGUGUUUACAAAGGUUUGGAGGCGGUAGUUGUUAAAUACAAAUAGACAUUGGAAGGUAAUAUGUUAUUAAAACCUUGUGGGCAAACAAUACAAGGAUGGUUUGGCUAAUUAUGGG